UGGUCAAGUUAUUAAGGGUGCAGGGCGGAUGCCUUGGCACUAGGAGCCGAUGAAGGACGUGAUAAGCUGCGAUAAGCUUCGGGGAGUUGCACGUAAACUUUGAUCCGAAGAUUUCCGAAUGAGGAAACUCACUUAGAGUAAUGUCUAAGUAUCAUUAAGUGAAUACAUAGCUUAAUGAGGGGAACUCAGGGAACUGAAACAUCUAAGUACCUGAAGGAAGAGAAAGAAAUUCGAUUCCGUAAGUAGCGGCGAGCGAACACGGAUUAGCCCAAACCAAUAAAGUUUUCUUUAUUGGGGUUGCGGACAUAUCAUAACGAAGAGGUAUCGUAAUUGAAGAGGUUUGGAAAGACCCACCACAGAAGGUAAUAGUCCUGUAUGUUAAACGAGAAGACUUCAGAUAUGAUCCAGAGUACCACGGGACACGUGAAACCCUGUGGGAAGCAGGAGGGACCACCCUCCAAGGCUAAAUACUACCUAGUGACCGAUAGCGUAUAGUACCGUGAGGGAAAGGUGAAAAGAACCCCGGGAGGGGAGUGAAAUAGAACCUGAAACCCUGCACUUACAAGCUGUGGAAGCACAUUUCUUGUGUGACCGCGUACUUUUUGUAGAACGGGCCAACGAGUUACGUUAAGUAGCAAGGUUAAGCACUUAAGGUGUGGAGCCGUAGCGAAAGCGAGUUUUAACUGAGCGUUCAGUUACUUGACGUAGACCCGAAACCGGGCGACCUACCCAUGAGCAGGAUGAAGCGAAAGUAAAAUUUCGUGGAGGUCCGAACCCACGAGCGUUGAAAAGCUCGGGGAUGACUUGUGGGUAGCGGUGAAAUUCCAAUCGAGCCCGGAGAUAGCUGGUUCUCCCCGAAAUAGCUUUAGGGCUAGCCUCAAGGUGAGAGAUACGGAGGUAGAGCACUGAAUGUCCUAGGGGGUAUUGCACCUACCGAAGACUAUCAAACUCCGAAUGCCGUCAUCUUAUACUUGGGAGUCAGACUGUGGGUGAUAAGAUUCAUAGUCGAAAGGGCAACAGCCCAGAUCGUCAGCUAAGGUCCCUAAAUGUAAGUUAAGUGGUAAAGGAUGUGGGAUUGCACAGACAACCAGGAUGUUGGCUUAGAAGCAGCCACUCAUUCAAAGAGUGCGUAAUAGCUCACUGGUCGAGUGAUCCUGCGCCGAAGAUUUCCGGGGCUAAAACUUACUACCGAAGCUACGGCAUCAGUAAUGAUGGGUAGGGGAGCUUCCCAUACGGGUUGAAGCAUGACCGUAAGGACAUGUGGACAGUAUGGGAGUGAGAAUGUUGGCAUGAGUAGCGAGAUGUGGGUGAGAAUCCCACAGGCCGUAAACCCAAGGUUUCCAGGGGAAGGUUCGUCCGCCCUGGGUUAGUCGGGACCUAAGCUGAGGCCGAAAGGCGUAGGUGAUGGACAACAGGUUGAUAUUCCUGUACUACCGAUAACCGUUUGAGAGAAGGGAUGACACAGUAGGAUAAGCUAAGCACACUGUUGGUUAUGUGUGCCCAAGCAUUGAGGCAGUCAAAGUAGGCAAAUCCGCUUUGAUAAUGCUAGGAUGUGAUGGGGAGCGAAAUUUAGUAGCGAAGUAGCUGAUUUCACACUGUCAAGAAAAGUCUCUAUCGAGGUUAAAGGUACCCGUACCGCAAACCGACACAGGUGGGUGAGGAGAGUAUCCUAAGGCCAGCGAGAGAACUGUUGUUAAGGAACUCGGCAAAAUGACCCCGUAACUUAGGGAUAAGGGGUGCCACCAUCAGGUGGCCGCAGAGAAUAGGCCCAAGCGACUGUUUACCAAAAACAUAGGUUUCUGCUAAGUCGCAAGACGAUGUAUAGGAGCUGACGCCUGCCCGGUGCUGGAAGGUUAAGGGGAUCUGUUAGAGCAAUCGAAGCAGUGAACUUAAGCCCCAGUAAACGGCGGCCGUAACUAUAACGGUCCUAAGGUAGCGAAAUUCCUUGUCGGGUAAGUUCCGACCCGCACGAAAGGCGUAACGAUUUGGGCACUGUCUCAACAACAGACUCGGUGAAAUUGUAAUUCCGGUGAAGAUGCCGGAUACCUGCGACAGGACGGAAAGACCCCAUGGAGCUUUACUGUAGCUUGACAUUGGGUCUUGGUACUACAUGUACAGGAUAGGUGGGAGGCUUUGAAACCAGGACGCCAGUUUUGGCGGAGCCAUCCUUGGGAUACCACCCUUGUAGUACUGGGACUCUAACCAUAGGCCAUGAAUCUGGUCUUGGGACACUGUCAGGUGGGCAGUUUGACUGGGGCGGUCGCCUCCCAAAAGGUAACGGAGGCGCUCAAAGGUUCUCUCAGUACGGUCGGAAAUCGUACGUAGAGUGUAAAGGCAAAAGAGAGCUUGAUUGCAAGACAUACAGGUCGAGCAAGGAUGAAAAUCGGACUUAGUGAUCCGGUGGUUCUGCGUGGAAGGGCCAUCGCUCAACGGAUAAAAGCUACCCUGGGGAUAACAGGCUUAUCUCCCCCAAGAGUCCACAUCGACGGGGAGGUUUGGCACCUCGAUGUCGGCUCAUCACAUCCUGGGGCUGUAGUAGGUCCCAAGGGUUGGGCUGUUCGCCCAUUAAAGUGGUACGCGAGCUGGGUUCAGAACGUCGUGAGACAGUUCGGUCCCUAUCCGUCGCAGGCGUAGGAAAUUUGAGAAGACCUGUCCUUAGUACGAGAGGACCGGGAUGGACGUACCUCUGGUGUACCAGUUGUUCUGCCAAGGGCAUGGCUGGGUAGCUAUGUAUGGAAUGGAUAAGCGCUGAAAGCAUCUAAGCGCGAAGCCAACUUCAAGAUAAGAUUUCCCACCGCAAGGGUAAGACCCCAGAAAGACUAUCUGGUUGAUAGGUCGAAGGUGUAAGUGCAGCAAUGUAUUUAGCUUAUCGAUACUAAUAGGUCGAGGACUUGACCAAU
rnacentral:rRNA from 1 species